CCUACGGGUGGCAGCAGUGAGGAAUAUUGGACAAUGGACGAGAGUCUGAACCAGCCAAGUAGCGUGAAGGAUGACUGCCCUAUGGGUUGUAAGCUUCUUUUAUAAAGGAGUAAAACGCGGCACGUGUGCCUUUUUGCAUGUACUUUAUGAUUCAGGAUAGGCUAACUCCGUGCCAGCAGCCGCGGUAAUACGGAUGAUCCGAGCGUGAUCCGGAUUUAUUGGGUGUAAAGGGAGCGUAGAUGGGUUGUGAAGUCAGGAGUGAAAGUUUGCGGCUCAACCGUAAAAUUGCAAUUGAUACUGGGAGUCUGGAGUACAGUAGAGGUAGGCGGAAUUCGUGGUGUAGCGGUGAAAUGCUUAGAUAUCAGGAAGAACCCCGAUUGCGAAGGCAGCUUACUAAACUGUAACUGACAUUGAGGCUCGAAAGUGUGGGUAUCAAACAGGAUUAGAUACCCUUGUAGUC
rnacentral:rRNA from 1 species